rnacentral:pre_miRNA from 1 species
GAGACAUCUUUAUGGAACAGGACUUGCUUCAGUGGGGCUUUGGUGCUCACUGAGUCUGCCCCUUGAGUGUGUUGCU